AUUGAACGCUGGCGGCAGGCCUAACACAUGCAAGUCGAGCGGAUGAAGAGAGCUUGCUCCUGGAUUCAGCGGCGGACGGGUGAGUAAUGCCUAGGAAUCUGCCUGGUAGUGGGGGAUAACGUCCGGAAACGGGCGCUAAUACCGCAUACGUCCUGAGGGAGAAAGUGGGGGAUCUUCGGACCUCACGCUAUCAGAUGAGCCUAGGUCGGAUUAGCUAGUUGGUGGGGUAAAGGCCUACCAAGGCGACGAUCCGUAACUGGUCUGAGAGGAUGAUCAGUCACACUGGAACUGAGACACGGUCCAGACUCCUACGGGAGGCAGCAGUGGGGAAUAUUGGACAAUGGGCGAAAGCCUGAUCCAGACAUGCCGCGUGUGUGAAGAAGGUCUUCGGAUUGUAAAGCACUUUAAGUUGGGAGGAAGGGCAGUAAGUUAAUACCUUGCUGUUUUGACGUUACCAACAGAAUAAGCACCGGCUAACUUCGUG
rnacentral:rRNA from 1 species